UACGGAGGGUGCAAACGUUGCUCGGAAUUAUUGGGCGUAAAGCGCACGUAGGCGGCCCAGCAAGUCGGGUGUGAAAGCCCUCGGCUUAACCGAGGAAGUGCAUUCGAAACUACUGAGCUUGAAUACUGGAGAGGAUCGCGGAAUUCCCGGUGUAGAGGUGAAAUUCGUAGAUAUCGGGAGGAACACCAGUGGCGAAGGCGGCAUCCUGGACCGACACUGACGCUGAGGAGCGAAAGCCAGGGGAGCAAACGGG
rnacentral:rRNA from 1 species